AUUGAACGCUGGCGGCAUGCCUUACACAUGCAAGUCGAACGGCAGCGGACCUUCGGGUGCCGGCGAGUGGCGAACGGGUGAGUAAUAUAUCGGAACGUACCUUUCAGUGGGGGAUAACGUAGCGAAAGUUACGCUAAUACCGCAUAUUCUGUGAGCAGGAAAGCAGGGGAUCGCAAGACCUUGCGCUGAUUGAGCGGCCGAUAUCAGAUUAGCUAGUUGGUGAGGUAAAGGCUCACCAAGGCGACGAUCUGUAGCGGGUCUGGAGAGGAUGGAUCCGCCACACUGGAACUGAGACACGGUCCAGACUCCUACGGGAGGCAGCAGUGGGGGAAUUUUGGACAAUGGGCGGCAAGCCUGAUCCAGCCAUGCCGCGUGAGUGAAGAAGGCCUCGGUUGUAA
rnacentral:rRNA from 1 species